rnacentral:rRNA from 1 species
UACGGGAGGCAGUAGUGGGGAAUAUUGCACAAUGGGCGAAAGCCUGAUGCAGCUAUGCCGCGUGUAUGAAGAAGGCCUUAGGGUUGUAAAGUACUUUCAUCGGGGAGGAAAAAACAAAACUAAUAAUUUUAUUUCUUGACGUUACCCGAAAAAGAAGCACCGGCUAACUCCGUGCCAGCAGCCGCGGUAAUACGGAGGGUGCUAGCGUUAAUCAGAAUUACUGGGCGUAAAGAGCACGUAGGUGGUUUUUUUAAAGUCAGAUGUGAAAUCCCUGGGCUUUAACCUAGGAACUGCAUUUUGAAAACUGAAAUACUAGAGUAUCGUAGAGGGAGGUAGAAUUCUAGGUGUAGCGGUGAAAUGCGUAGAUAUCUGGAGGAAUACCUGUGGCGAAAGCGGCCUCCUAAACGAAUACUGACACUGAGGGUGCGAAAAGCGUGGGGAGCAAAACAGGGAUUAGAUACC